AUUGAACGCUGGCGGCAUGCUUUACACAUGCAAGUCGAACGGUAACAGGUUAAGCUGACGAGUGGCGAACGGGUGAGUAAUGCAUCGGAACGUGCCCGGUCGUGGGGGAUAACGCAGCGAAAGCUGCGCUAAUACCGCAUACGAUCUAAGGAUGAAAGCGGGGGACAGUAAGGCCUCGCGCGAUCGGAGCGGCCGAUGUCAGAUUAGGUAGUGGGUGGGGGAACGGCGCACCAAGCCAACGAUCUGUAGCUGGUCUGAGAGGACGACGAGCCACACUGGGAAUGAGUCCCGGCCCAGAAUCCUACGGGAGGCAGCAGUGUGGAAUUGUGGAAAAUUGGCGAAAGCCUGAUCCAGCAAUGCCGAGUGCAGGAAGAAGGCCUUCGGGUUGUAAACUGCUUUUGUACGGAGCGAAAAGGUCUCCUCUAAUACAGGGGGCUCAUGACGGUACCGUAAGAAUAAGCACCGGCUAACUACGUGCCAGCAGCCGCGGUAA
rnacentral:rRNA from 1 species